CGCCAUGAGCAACGCCAACUUCCGGCUUCACUUUUGCUUCACAAAGAGUGACGUCAGGGCCUCUCCUUAGUUUCCUUCCUCCGUGUCGGGGCUAAUAGACGAGGCAACCUAAAGUUUGCCCGCGCGGCACCAGCGCCGAAUGCUCCCCUAGCGGACCGAUGGAAGUUUCGAGGGUCGUCGCUGCGCAAGCGCGCGCCCGUGUUCUGUACGGCGGGAGCGCUCGUGCACGUGGUUUUUGCGAUGCCGAGUGCGACCUCACCAGCCAGGAAAGGCGGCACGCAAUACUGAUGUGUUGUUGAUUGCCACAGCAGCCUCGAAAACACGAAAGGUCGUACGCCUCCCGUGAAGUUCUACAGAUUUCCGGGGAAGUGGUACGAGAAGGGCAGACGACAAGCAUGGAUAACUGCAGUGCGCCGAGUCAAGUAAGUCUCAUACUUUCGCAUUCGCGUGUAAUAUCUUGAAAGCGGAAUAGUCAUAUGCCUGUUUUUAGUGCACGGCCGUUUGUUUAGUCGUGUCGCGUUGUUGAAUUGUGGUGGCAUCCGUCGUUUGCUAGCGGUAAAUGCAUGCGUGUUGCGCUGCUAAGCUCUACGACGCGUGCUCGAUUCCCAGCCACGGCGGCCGCAUUUCGGUAGGGGCAAAAUGCAAGAACACCCUUGUUACCGUGUGCUUUGAUUGAGCAUAUUACGAGAGCUCAACCAAACCAUAGAGAAAGGGAUUGAACAAGAGCGGACACUCGGCGAAAAUUGGAAACAGGAAACACGUCACGCUAUACUUUUAACAUCGACGAAUUGGGGCCGCGAGCAUCGGGAAAAAGAAGAAUGUGAAAUGAGAUUAACAGAAAUUGUUCUAUUUCUUAUAUUCUUGCGGCUUACUUCCGUUGCCUAGCGACAGGCGAACCGGCGAAUGACGAGCCAGAUGUUUGCGUCAUUCGUCAGACCAAUGGUCAGACACGCCGCCGAAGCGAGAGUGAGCGGCCGCGCAUGUGAGCGUUGGACUGUUCGGGCGCCUGUCUGCCUGUUUUUCUAUUUUGGUAUUUAGCCUGGUUUGGUGGCCUCCCGGCGAAUUAUUGCGUUCAUUCGGAACUUCGACAAGGCAGCACUGCACUAUUGGACUACGGCAAGCUCACACCGUCUGGUGGAGCUUCCUGCGGAAACUACUGCUGCUUACCUGGUGCCACAACGCUGGACGAAUGCACAAAAGCCCGCGACGAGCAUUUACAAAGAAUAAAAUAAACGUUAAUUUUUCCACAUUU